rnacentral:misc_RNA from 1 species
CCGAGUUAGGGUGCCUCACCGCGCCCGACCUCCAACCCUUUGUCUACCUGACCUUAUGUUGCUUCGGCAGGCCCGCCUGCCCGGACCUUCGCGUCCGGGCGGGCCGCCGGGGGUCUCACGACCCCGGGCCCGCGCCUGUCGAUGGCCCCUUCUUAAACUAUUGUUAAAACGUGUCGUCUGAGUUAAACCAAACAAAUGAAAUUA